UCAGUGCUACUUUAGGCACGAUUUUUUUUAUUUUCUUAUUUUUACAAAAUUUUAAAUUUUUUUUAUAACUUCAAUUUUCCUCCUUCGCCCGCUGCUUUCGCCCCCAUCCAAACGGGUUCGGUCGAGUGUACCGGCAGGUUAGCUUGUUGAGCAGUAUAGUGCUCUCACCGCCGUUUCCCACCAAAUUUGCUGGGUCUAGCCGACUACAGGGCUAUCAUCAGCAACGGUAUCCACUGGCCGUCGCGUCUCGUCACGAGUUUAGCGCUACGCGUGACGAAAGUAGCCACCCUAAGCUUCCCAUGGUCACCCCAACCCCUUCUCGGAGGUGUGCUGAAGUUUGCGGUCUCUAACACGUUUUGGUGUCCUUUUUUCAAGCUCCGCCGCACGUCCCGACGCCUGGCCGGCGAAGUCUCCCAGGGCAGGUCAUUCACCGGACAUACCCCCCACCCCUCCCUGGUCCACAGCGGUCAUCGGCCAGCCGGGGCAGUGACCAACCUCAAGGCCAAAAUCCCCCCCACUUGCAAAAUGGCGGCCACCAAGUGCCGCGAUGGUCUCUGCGAGACUCCGAUCUGCAUGCCCACGCCAUCUAGCGGCGAAAGGACGAACCAGCUAUCCCCUAUCCCCUCCAGAAGAAACAGUCGACCUCACACUCAGUCGAUAGGUCGCCGGAGCCCUUUUUUUUCUUUCGGAGCCCUUCGGAGCACUUCGGGUUUCCCGAUCCCCUCCUCCAGAGGAACAGACGACGGGACUAAAGUUUAAGUUAGCGUCCCGGCGCCAUUUUCAGGGAUUUUGAGGGCAGCUCUCGUCCAGCGCGCAUCUUUGCAACAAGUCGCAGUAACGACCAGCAGCUAUCGUGAUCCGCUUUCGGCGAUAAUGUAGUUGCUUCUGAGCCAGGCCAUGUCGCCUAGAUUUUUUUUUAGUUUUUCUUAGUAGCUGCCCAAAUAGUCAAGUUUAACUUUAGUUUUCUUUGGUUUUCGCCAUAACUAUUUCUUCUAUGGCUACCGCGAGCUCCCGUGCCGCGCAUCCCCGGAUCACCCCCAGGGACAGCCACUAUCUACUUCACCCUGCCAGCUAAGGCAGGGUUCCAGAAUCCCAGAGGGUUCCAGAAUCCCAGAGUACUUCAAGGACCCCAGACCAGUUCAAGAUGGCGGCCCAGUUCCGGCGCCACAUUUUGCACCUCAACCUGUAACUCGUGAGCCUCUAUAACGGAGUCUCCCUCCAUCUUUCGGCACCCCUCAAAAAGAAGUGAAGAACAGUUUAUAACUCCGCCAGUUUUAGGACGUUUUCCAUAUUAUUAUAAAAUAUUGUAUUUUAAACACAUAUAUUUGUUUGAUGAGCCUGCGAGCUCAAUGUUCCUAAACAGUUGAACAUAGCAUAGUAUGAAAUGGUGUUCCCCCCCCCCCCCGGCCCCUCUUUCUUCUUUCUUUUAUUCGUUAGUUACUCAAUGUAAUGUAUCAAAAAUAAGAAUCUGACAUUGUUAGCAGUUUUGUUUGUAAUGGCUGUAAUGCCGUAAGAUAUUUUCUAAUGUAAGAAACCUAUCAAUGACAAGAUACUAAACUACUAAUCAACAGUAAAAGCCUCUAAUGAAACCAAACCAUACGAGUGUUUUCAUUUGCUGCUACUUGAAACCACAAUCCACGUAACCUUUCCUACUGUCAGGGAGGUUAAUUUUAAAUUGUGUUUGUAAGUGGGCUGUGCCCCUCUGGCAAGUUCUUUUAGAUAAUUAGCCUGACGCUUCCGCCGGACAUUUAUUAUCAAUAAUUAUGGUUUUGUUUUGAGCACAGCACCACGGUUACAAAUUGGUAGCAGUUAGCAUGGUUACGGUUACAAUGUGGUAGCAGUUUGUGUGAUAUGGUUACUCUUAAAUUGUUAACUGUAUUUUGGUUUGAUUUAUGAGAAUGCUUUAAAUUUAUUUGGAAUAAAUAUUUUUUUUGUUUGUCACUAAGAUUUUCUAUAUAUAGUAUUAUUGUAAGUCCUAAAACUGGCACCCAAUCUGAUUCACCCAAAGUGAGUUAAAUUAAAAUUCUCUCGUAUUUUACGUCCCGCUCUGACUGUGUUUGCGCGCGGUGAGACACCGCGCGGCCCCGUCGGUGCGACGGCCCUCAGGCAUCGUGCCUUAUCAGCGCGCGUGUCAUUCUCCCUGUCAUUCUCUUCACCCCUCCCCCUCACGCCUCACCGGCUGGAGGAGGUGAGGUCAUGCCGUUGACCCCGUGUCCGGCAGCGUAAAUAAUGCGUUACAAUCUAGUUUGUUCCUCACGGCCGACAGUGCCCUGAGUUUGUCUAAAUUCCUCCUUUUAUCUGUCUUUUUUUUUAUAACACAUCCGCCUGCAAACCAGGCAAUCUUUGUGAAAAACAGAUAAUAGAAGUCCUUUCGGACAUCGUGGUAUUUUUUGUUUUGUCUCUCGGCGCCUUGCUCCACAUGACAGGGCCGCCAACCGCGCGGAACUCUUCUCUACUCCACCCACGUAACACUUAUUUUGUAAACAAACUACCCAUGCUUUGUAUGUCCUAAUAAUAUUAUUUUUAUGUCACAAAACAAGCACUAUAAAUAAUCUAUACUGCAUUAAUUUUAGCAGCAAAGUAUUUUCUUAAUCUAAGGAAACGUAAAAUAUAACAUAACAUAUUUAUAUAACUUAUAAUAAUAUAAAAAAUACAAAUAAUAUAAUAUAAACCUUUUGUUUUAGCUAAUGUUAAGAAACUUCCAUUGUUUACUAUUUCUAAGUAUCUUAAAAUUAACGAUUAAGUAUUUUAAUAAUACAUAAAAUAAAUCUAAAAAAGGGUCCAUUCAUUAAGUAACAUAAAAUAAGAAUAUGCUCAUAAGUAAUUUUAACAAGUACUCUAAUCCUAUUGCAUCGUUCACAAGCAAAGUGAAUAUACUUCGACGUACCAUUUCAUUGUGUCACCAUACACACCCAUGUGCCUAGCUUUUGUUUAGAUCUAUUUCGUGAUCACCCAACGAGAGGUGCAAUCACUCAUGCCUUUAAGGAAAGGUUACUGAAUUAAAUUGUUUAUAUACACGGGUUGAAUCCCCAAUACUUUUACGCUAGCCAUGAGGUGAGGAAUUUAUUGUAAGAUAGAGUACUAAACUUUUUUAACGUAGAGUUUUCUAUAAACAAUUUACCAAUUAUUCUAAGAAUACUAAGUAAAGGAUAAAUAAUAUUUUUGUAAUUAUGAAUUUUGAGUAAACAAUUUAUUAACUUUUAUAUUUUUUUGGAUCGGUGUUCAUUUCCUUUACAAGGUGGUGUACAGCUAGGUAAUUUUAAACAUCUAAAUUUUUUUCAUUAUCCAUUUUUCAUCCAAAUUUGUUGAUCUUUCGGGUUUCGAACCCGAACUAACUCAGGGGUGAAAUUCCCUCGUAGGUCUCUCUGCUUCAGCCUGAUGGUCUGAUCAACCGUCAGAGCUUGAACAUAUUGAGCCUAUGUGAGUUAAUAAAUGUAGGUAUCCGGGACCGAGGUGUACUUCGCUUUUUAAGCAAGUAUUAAAUUCAUCUAUUUCGUCUGAUCCAUCGUCAGAUUGUGCAGAGCUAUGUCUCAAUGCCUUCGACUUCUUAUGGACAGCGAAACAAUUAUGUACAGGGGUUAUAUUCCCAAUCUAGUUUGUAAGUUACGGGUUACCAUACCCAUUUACAGGGGUUACAAUCCCCAUUAGUCACUGAGUGCUCAAGGACGCAUUUCCCUUGUUUCGGCCUCAGUGCUUUUCGGCCUCCCUCACAGCGCCCAUUUUGGUGUUCCUACACGAUAUCCAAUAUCUGAGAUCAACAGGAUGAAUUUCAUUUCAUUAAUAUAACAACGGCAUAAAUAGUUGUAAGCUUACAGGUACUUUAAGGUUAAGCUUUAAAUUUAAUUUUUUUUUAUUUAUUAAAUGAUUUUAAGGAUUUAUUUUAAAUAAUUCAAACCAAGUUUAAAUGGACUCUAUUUAAUUAUUAAUCUUGUCUUGGACUAAAGUGUUACAGUCAAAGGUCAUGGAAUUAAUUCUGCUUUAUUACAAGUAGUAGGGCAACAGACAUAUUUUUUUUUAUCUUUUCUUUUAGCUCAUUAAUAAUAAUAAAAUCAAGCAUAUAAAAAUAAGUAUUCCCCCUAAAUUAAGCAGCUACGAGGUGACUAGUCUCAUUUUAAUAUUUAAGGUAAUCACCGAGAAGGGUGAAAUACUUUCAACCCCCAACGAGAGGUCCACUUAAUUAAUUUGGGUAUGUUUGAGCAUCCCGUUUCUAGGCUAGCACAAGCUAGGUAAUUUAAGAUAUUUUAAUUUUUAAUUUUUACAUACGUAAGUUCAGUCUUUAACAAGCCACCUGACGUAAAUAGUUUUAAUUGUUUUUUACUCAGAAAUACCUCUCUGAUAUUUUUUUGAAUCUUCAUGAAUCUUGUUCCACGAUUUCAUAUAUUUAAUUUCUUAUUACGUUACUUUUUUUUAAUAUUCAUAAUUCGUAAAGUAAGCAAGAAUAAUGUUUGUAGUGUUUUUUUUGUACUGAUUUUGCGUUAAUACUUGUACAUGUUUAUUCCUUUAUUUCCCUUGUACGUAAAUGUGAUGUACAGUGACGUACAUAGAGUCUGAGCACUGAAGCUGUCACAUCUAGCCAUUUUUCUUUUUUCUUUUGCAUUCUACCCCAAAGUUGUAUUUCUUUUACAUCGUUAUCGAUGAGAUUGUUUAUUUAAGUAAGAGCUACGUGACUUCCAGACGUCAAACUGGUUUCUUUUAUGUGUUUUUCUAAAAUAGGAGCUAGGUCAAGCUAGCCAACGAGCGGCGCAAAAGUUAGGGUCCUCUGAGCCAACGAGCCAUGACCAAGGUCCUCUGAGUGAAAAAUCUCAUGACCAUUUUCGAGUGUUCUUUGGGUUACAUUUCCACCACUCAUCUUUGGAAGGCCUAUGUUCAAACCCCCUCUCAGGCAGUGCGAAGCCUAUCAGCAGUCAUGGAAGAUCUGACCGCUCCAUUAUAAUUUAUCCCUUUUUGAUUUAUAAUUGUUGGUUUAUUGAAUUUUACAUUUCUUUAAAUAAUUUAAAUUUGAGUGCGAAGAGUCGUUAAUUUAUCGUUUUGUUUGCAGAAUACUUUUAAAUAAUAAAUAUUAGUUAAUAAUAAUAAACAUCAGAGUGGUAUGCACUGAAAUUUCUUAAUUUAUCGAAUAUUUAAUAUUUUUAAAUUCAUUCGUUCAUACGAAUUGUUGAUCUUUUGGGGUUUUCAUCCCCAACCAUUUAAAAUUCCGCCAAGGGAAUUCCACCCUUAGGCCAUGUGUCACUCUGGAACUGAGGCUCUGUUUCGCCUUCGAGCAAGCAGCAAAUUCGACUGUCUUCUCCAUCGCCUGACUGUGCAGGGCUGAGUCCCAAUGCCUUCGGCUUCUUAUGGAAAGACUAUUGUACAGGGGUUUACAUUCCCACUUUCAUUAUUUUCAGGGGUACACAAAUCCCCACCUUUCUUUACUGGCACCCGACGGACCAAGUUCCGGUUCCGGCCCAGUGUUUUAGGCCCGCCUCACAGAGCCCAUAUUUAGAGUUUUUGUCACGUGACACCAUUCCCAACAUCUGAGAUCAACUUUCCUCAUGACAUCAUUCACCGUUAAGGGUAAUUUAAAUAAUUAUAUACACCUUCCAUUUUAUCAAAAUAUUUUUUUUAUAAGUAGUAAGAUACAGGCGAACCUGGUACUAGUUUUACUAAGAAGUGUAAGUUUAUUUUUUUCCCUAUAUGCUCCGCAUUCAAGCGGGGGAGUAUGUGCCGAAUCAGUGCUACUUUAGGCACGAUUUUUUUUAUUUUCUUAUUUUUACAAAAUUUUAAAUUUUUUUUAUAACUUCAAUUUUCCUCCUUCGCCCGCUGCUUUCGCCCCCAUCCAAACGGGUUCGGUCGAGUGUACCGGCAGGUUAGCUUGUUGAGCAGUAUAGUGCUCUCACCGCCGUUUCCCACCAAAUUUGCUGGGUCUAGCCGACUACAGGGCUAUCAUCAGCAACGGUAUCCACUGGCCGUCGCGUCUCGUCACGAGUUUAGCGCUACGCGUGACGAAAGUAGCCACCCUAAGCUUCCCAUGGUCACCCCAACCCCUUCUCGGAGGUGUGCUGAAGUUUGCGGUCUCUAACACGUUUUGGUGUCCUUUUUUCAAGCUCCGCCGCACGUCCCGACGCCUGGCCGGCGAAGUCUCCCAGGGCAGGUCAUUCACCGGACAUACCCCCCACCCCUCCCUGGUCCACAGCGGUCAUCGGCCAGCCGGGGCAGUGACCAACCUCAAGGCCAAAAUCCCCCCCACUUGCAAAAUGGCGGCCACCAAGUGCCGCGAUGGUCUCUGCGAGACUACGAUCUGCAUGCCCACGCCAUCUAGCGGCGAAAGGACGAACCAGCUAUCCCCUAUCCCCUCCAGAAGAAACAGUCGACCUCACACUCAGUCGAUAGGUCGCCGGAGCCCUUUUUUUUUCUUUCGGAGCCCUUCGGAGCACUUCGGGUUUCCCGAUCCCCUCCUCCAGAGGAACAGACGACGGGACUAAAGUUUAAGUUAGCGUCCCGGCGCCAUUUUCAGGGAUUUUGAGGGCAGCUCUCGUCCAGCGCGCAUCUUUGCAACAAGUCGCAGUAACGACCAGCAGCUAUCGUGAUCCGCUUUCGGCAAUAAUGUAGUUGCUUCUGAGCCAGGCCAUGUCGCCUAGAUUUUUUUUUAGUUUUUCUUAGUAGCUGCCCAAAUAGUCAAGUUUAACUUUAGUUUUCUUUGGUUUUCGCCAUAACUAUUUCUUCUAUGGCUACCGCGAGCUCCCGUGCCGCGCAUCCCCGGAUCACCCCCAGGGACAGCCACUAUCUACUUCACCCUGCCAGCUAAGGCAGGGUUCCAGAAUCCCAGAGGGUUCCAGAAUCCCAGAGUACUUCAAGGACCCCAGACCAGUUCAAGAUGGCGGCCCAGUUCCGGCGCCACAUUUUGCACCUCAACCUGUAACUCGUGAGCCUCUAUAACGGAGUCUCCCUCCAUCUUUCGGCACCCCUCAAAAAGAAGUGAAGAACAGUUUAUAACUCCGCCAGUUUUAGGACGUUUUCCAUAUUAUUAUAAAAUAUUGUAUUUUAAACACAUAUAUUUGUUUGAUGAGCCUGCGAGCUCAAUGUUCCUAAACAGUUGAACAUAGCAUAGUAUGAAAUGGUGUUCCCCCCCCCCCGGCCCCUCUUUCUUCUUUCUUUUAUUCGUUAGUUACUCAAUGUAAUGUAUCAAAAAUAAGAAUCUGACAUUGUUAGCAGUUUUGUUUGUAAUGGCUGUAAUGCCGUAAGAUAUUUUCUAAUGUAAGAAACCUAUCAAUGACAAGAUACUAAACUACUAAUCAACAGUAAAAGCCUCUAAUGAAACCAAACCAUACGAGUGUUUUCAUUUGCUGCUACUUGAAACCACAAUCCACGUAACCUUUCCUACUGUCAGGGAGGUUAAUUUUAAAUUGUGUUUGUAAGUGGGCUGUGCCCCUCUGGCAAGUUCUUUUAGAUAAUUAGCCUGACGCUUCCGCCGGACAUUUAUUAUCAAUAAUUAUGGUUUUGUUUUGAGCACAGCACCACGGUUACACGCUUUAAAACC